rnacentral:rRNA from 1 species
AUUGAACGCUGGCGGCAGGCCUAACACAUGCAAGUCGAGCGGAUGAAGGGAGCUUGCUCCUGGCUUCAGCGGCGGACGGGUGAGUAAUGCCUAGGAAUCUGCCUGGUAGUGGGGGAUAACGUCCGGAAACGGGCGCUAAUACCGCACACGUCAUGAGGGAGAACGUGGGGGAUCUUCGGUCCUCACGCUUUCUGAUGAGACUAGGUCGGAUUAGCUAGUUGGUGAGGUAAAGGCCUACCAAGGCGACGAUCCGUAACUGGUCUGAGAGGAUGAUCAGUCACACUGGAACUGAGACACGGUCCAGACUCCUACGGGAGGCAGCAGUGGGGAAUAUUGGACAAUGGGCGAAAGCCUGAUCCAGCCAUGCCGCGUGUGUGAAGAAGGUCUUCGGAUUGUAAAGCACUUUAAGUUGGGAGGAAGGGCAGUAAGUUAAUACCUUGCUGUUUUGGCGUUACCAACAGAGUAAGCACCGGCUAACUUCGUG